rnacentral:rRNA from 1 species
UACGUAGGGGGCAAGCGUUGUCCGGAAUCAUUGGGCGUAAAGAGCGUGUAGGCGGCCAGAUAAGUCCGCUGUGAAAUCUCGAGGCUCAACUUCGAGCUGUCGGUGGAAACUAUCUGGCUAGAGUCCGGAAGAGGAGAAUGGAAUUCCUGGUGUAGCGGUGAAAUGCGCAGAUAUCAGGAAGAACACCCGUGGCGAAGGCAGAUCUCUGGGCCGUAACUGACGCUGAGGAGCGAAAGCAUGGGGAGCGAACAGG